rnacentral:lncRNA from 1 species
CUUUCCAGUUGUGCAGUGGAUUCUCACAUAAAUCACCAAAAGUUCUAAUAGUUUGUUUAUUCAUGCUUUCAUUGAUUCAUUCAUUCCUUCAUCUAAGACUAGGAAUUACUCAAGCAAUAAAGGUGUAUCCAGUCGUGUUGCUAUGACAAAGUACCACAGACUGCAUAGCUUGUAAACAACAGGAAUGUAAAUAUUCCUCACACUUUUAGAGGCUGAUAGUCCAAGAUCAGGGUGCCAGCAUGGUCAGUUUCUGGCAAGGGCCCUCUUCCGGGUUGCUGACUGCUGACUUCUCAUUGUGUCUUCACAUGGCAGAGAGGCAUGGUGGCUCAUGCCUGUAAUCCCGGCACUUUAUAAGGCCAAGGCAGGCAGAUCACUUGAAGUCUGGAGUUCAAAAGUUGUGUCAUUUUACAUUCCCACCAACAGUGUAUGAGGGUUUUACUUCCUUCACAUCUUUUUUUCAACAACAUUGCCAAGG